CCAGAUGUCUACACAUUCAACACCAUGUUAGAUGCAUGCAUUGUGGAGAAGAGAUGGGAUGACCUUGAGCAUGUAUAUAAAAAAAUGCUGCAGCAUGGAUUCCAUUUCAAUGCAAAACGCCAUGUCCGAAUGAUAUUGGAUGCUUCAAGAGCUGGAAGGGUAGAGCUACUGGAAACAACUUGAAAGCACCUUGAGCAGGCGAACCGGGUACCCCCACCUCCUCUCAUCAAAGAGUGGUUUCGAAUCUUUGUCGAGAAAGAAGACUACAUUUCUGCUCUUUCUUGUAUAACCAGUCAUCCAGUUAGUGAUCUGCCAGAGUUUUCCAAGACUGAAUGGAAGAAUUUAUUCAAAGAAAAUUCUCAAGGUUUGAAGGAUGAUUCUUUUGUUCACUUAAUACACGAGGCAAGUAUCCAAACCACCAGAAUUGAUUCAGCGAAUUCAGUUUUGCAUAAUCUUAUAUCAUCCUGCAAAGAAUUUUUGAGGACUCACGCCAGAGCUCCUAAAAUGAUAGAUGGACAAACUCUUAAUGCAAGUGCCCGAAAUAAUUUUUUUUUUUGGUUGUGUGUUUCACUAAGUAUAUUGUAUCCACAUAUUCAAUUAGUUAUUCAGUCAGGAGAUGAAUUGUAUUGAAAGGCCUUCGAAUAAGUCUUAAAUUUAUGAGCAAUCAACAUGGAAAUUAUGUUUAUUUGUUUC